AUACGGAGGGUGCAAGCGUUAUACGGAAUCACUGGGCGUAAAGGACGCGUAGGCGGGUUGGCAAGUCAGAUGUGAAAUCCUACAGCUUAACUGUAGAACUGCAUUUGAAACUGCUAACCUAGAGUAUGGGAGGGGGAGAUGGAAUUAGUGGUGUAGGGGUAAAAUCCGUAGAUAUCACUAGGAAUACCGAAAGCGAAGGCGAUCUCCUGGAACAUAACUGACGCUAAGGCGUGAAAGCGUGGGGAGCAAACAGGAUUAGAAACCCUAGUAGUCC
rnacentral:rRNA from 1 species